rnacentral:rRNA from 1 species
UGCAGGCUGCAACCCGCCUGCAUGAAGUUGGAAUCGCUAGUAAUCGCGGAUCAGCAUGCCGCGGUGAAUACGUUCCCGGGCCUUGUACACACCGCCCGUCACACCAUGAGAGUCGGGAACACCCGAAGUCCGUAGCCUGACCGCAAGGGGGCGCGGCCGAAGGUGGGUUCGAUAAUUGGGGUGAAGUCGUAACAAGGUACC